rnacentral:lncRNA from 1 species
UUUUUUCUUCUCUUCUUCUUCUUCUUCUUCUUCUCCUUCUUAUUUUUUUCUUCUCUUCUUCUUCUUCUUCUUGUUCUUCUUCUUCUUCUCCUCCUCCUCCUCCUACUCCUCUUCUUCUUCUCCUCUUCUUGUCCUCCUCCUCCUCUUCUCCUCUUCUCCUCCUCCACCUAACUAACCAAACUAACUAACUAACCUAACUAAA